rnacentral:tRNA from 1 species
GGUGAUGUAGCUCAGUGGCAGAGUACUUGCCUAGCAGGCAGAAGGCCAUAGGUUUGAUUCCUGUUAGCACAU